CGGUGUUUAACUGGCGUGAUGUGGGACGUCCUACCGGUGGGCUUAGCCUCGCGAGGGGCGGCCCAACUAAUAUCCCGUCGCGGUGCUCUUUACUGAGUGUCGAGUCGGGCCGGUACGUUUACUUUGAACAAUUAGAGUGCUUAAAGCAGCUAUCCUCGCCUGAUACUGGCGUGCAUGGAUAAUGGAAUAGACUCGGUCUAUUGUUGGUUUUCGGAACCCCGAGGUAAUGAUUAAUAGGGACAGAUGGGGGCAUUCGUAUUGCGACGUAGAGGUGAAAUUCUUGGAUCGUCGCAAGACGGACAGAAGCGAAAGCAUUUGCCAAAAAUGUUUUCAUUAAUCAAGAACGAAAGUUAGAGGUUCGAAGGCGAUCAGAUACCGCCCUAGUUCUAACCAUAAACGAUGCCAGCUAGCGAUCCGCCGAAGUUCCUCCGAUGACUCGGCGGGCAGCUUCCGGGAAACCAAAGCUUUUGGGUUCCGGGGGAAGUAUGGUUGCAAAGCUGAAACUUAAAGGAAUUGACGGAAGGGCACCACCAGGAGUGGAGCCUGCGGCUUAAUUUGACUCAACACGGGAAACCUCACCAGGCCCAGACACCGGAAGGAUUGACAGAUUGAUAGCUCUUUCUUGAUUCGGUGGGUGGUGGUGCAUGGCCGUUCUUAGUUGGUGGAGCGAUUUGUCUGGUUAAUUCCGAUAACGAACGAGACCUUAACCUGCUAAAUAGCCAGGCCGGCUUCGGCUGGUCUCUGGCUUCUUAGAGGGACUGUCAGCGUCUAGCUGACGG
rnacentral:rRNA from 1 species